AACGAACGCUGGCGGCAUGCCUAACACAUGCAAGUCGAACGAGACCUUCGGGUCUAGUGGCGCACGGGUGCGUAACGCGUGGGAACCUGCACUUAGGUUCGGAAUAACUCCCCGAAAGGGGUGCUAAUACCGGAUAAUGUCUUCGGACCAAAGAUUUAUCGCCUUUGGAUGGGCCCGCGUUGGAUUAGCUAGUUGGUAGGGUAAAAGCCUACCAAGGCGACGAUCCAUAGCUGGUCUGAGAGGAUGAUCAGCCACACUGGGACUGAGACACGGCCCAGACUCCUACGGGAGGCAGCAGUGGGGAAUAUUGGACAAUGGGCGAAAGCCUGAUCCAGCAAUGCCGCGUGAGUGAUGAAGGGCUUAGGGUUGUAAAGCUCUUUUACCCGGGAUGAUAAUGACAGUACCGGGAGAAUAAGCUCCGGCUAACUCCGUG
rnacentral:rRNA from 1 species